ensembl:lncRNA
GAAAUGCAGCAGAAAUUAAUGAGAAGGAACAACAAGAAAUGUGGUGAAGCCAUGUCUGUAGCUCUCUUGUUAGGAAAUUAUUUGACUUCCUUAAAGGUUUCCGUCUCCUUAAAAUGCCAGCUUCAAUGAAUACACCCUUAAAUGACACGUUUGUGCCUGCUGUUUGCGUCAUAUCUGCCUGUGUGAUCUCGUUCAGGUUUCUUCGGAGCUCCAUUUACUCAGUGGGAAAAAAUUAUCGGUAGCCAGAUACAUUAAGAACACAUACUGAAGAACAUUUUCCACACUCAUGUUAUGAAAGCAAGGACAGAUGAUCUAAUCCCAUUUUUACAAAAUGUGAAAUGUGAAAAAUGUGAUCAAUAUGCGUUUGCGCUGCCAACGGCCUCACAAUUUACUACUUCUACGCACUGUGGGCCUGCACAGGUAAGUUUCCUGGCAGGUGACUUUAGGCAAUACCAUUCAGGGAAAUGAAGUGACUGUUGUGUAAAGAAAUUAAAUCUCGUAUGGUUUCCAAAUCCUCCUGUGCUGACUUGUCCUUUCCAUUUGUCCCUCUUCUUUGUUGCUCUCUCUCUCUCCUGCAGGGGACUGCAGCGUUUGCUGUAAACUCAAACAGCUUUUAUCCAACUGCAAUAACACGUCUGAAUACUGCUACAAUAAAAUCUCCAUCACGCCACUCGUAUUAAUCUAUUCGCUGACUGAAGUAUGUAUGUGGGAAUGUAUGUGAAUGUUUGCUGAUACUAUUCUUAUUAGCACUUUAAGUAUUUUAUAUAUUUUAUUUUUUGAUUUUAUUGAAUUUUAUUGUUUUAUUUAUAUUUUGAUAUUGUUAGGGAUGAUGCACUGAUCGGGAACCAUUUUUAAUUUCGUUGUACCUGUGACAAUGACAAUAAAGACAUUCUAAUUCUGAGUUUCUGCCCUUUAAUUUUGCACAUCUGGAGGAGCAAAGUUCACCUGUUUGCAAUCAUGUCAUCUCCUUGCUCCUAUUUAAAGUUGAGGUAGCUUUGCUGUUGAUGGCUGAUUGCUGCACUGAUCCUGAUAGUGAAACUGGUUCCUUUUGUCUGAAUCUUUCUUUCUGAGAAGCCAUGUAGAUCUGAGGGACAAUCUGAACAGUGAUGAUCCAGACGAAAAUUCUCUCAGUACCUUUAUUUCUCAUAUUAAUGAUAAUAUCAUAAAACUGUUUAUUUAAGGUAAACCUGUAUUUCCUCAACAGUAAAAAAAUCCAGACUAUCAACACAGUCAUGCACAGUCGAGGAGCGUGUGAGGAUACAUUUCACUGCAUGUUGUACUGG